CUACGGGGUGCUGCAGACGAGAAUAGUCUACAAUGGGGGAAACCCUGAUAGUGCGACGCCGCGUGAACGAAGAAGCUUUUCGGAGUGUAAAGUUCUUUUCUGUAUGAGCAAUGCUUUAUUGUUUAAGAGAUAAUAGAGAGAGAUAUUAGUACAGGAAUAAGCCACGGCUAACUCCGUGCCAGCAGCCGCGGUAAUACGGGGGUGGCAAGCGUUGUCCGGAAUUACUAGGCGUAAAGGGCAGGUAGGCGGAUAUUCAAGUCAGGCGUUAAAGGCAUCAGCUCAACUGGUGUACGGCGUUUGAAACUGGAUAUCGUGAGUCAGGUAGAGGUAGAUGGAAUUCCUAGUGUAGCGGUGGAAUGCGCAGAGAUUAGGAAGAACACCAAAGGCGAAGGCAAUCUACUGGGCCAUGACUGACGCUAAACUGCGAAGGUGUGGGUAUCAAACAGGAUUAGAUACCCGUGUAGUC
rnacentral:rRNA from 1 species